UACGAAGGGGGCUAGCGUUGCUCGGAAUUACUGGGCGUAAAGGGCGCGUAGGCGGACAGUUUAGUCAGAGGUGAAAGCCCAGGGCUCAACCUUGGAACUGCCUUUGAUACUGGCUGUCUUGAGUUCGGGAGAGGUGAGUGGAAUUCCGAGUGUAGAGGUGAAAUUCGUAGAUAUUCGGAAGAACACCAGUGGCGAAGGCGGCUCACUGGACGACUGUUGACGCUGAGGCUCGAAAGUGCGGGGAUCAAACAGG
rnacentral:rRNA from 1 species